AUUGAACGCUGGCGGCAUGCUUUACACAUGCAAGUCGAACGGUAACAGGCCGCAAGGUGCUGACGAGUGGCGAACGGGUGAGUAAUGCAUCGGAACGUGCCCAGUCGUGGGGGAUAACGCAGCGAAAGCUGCGCUAAUACCGCAUACGAUCUAUGGAUGAAAGCGGGGGACCGUAAGGCCUCGCGCGCUUGGAGCGGCCGAUGUCAGAUUAGGUACUUGGUGAGGUAAAGGCUCACCAAGCCAACGAUCUGUAGCUGGUCUGAGAGGACGACCAGCCACACUGGGACUGAGACACGGCCCAGACUCCUACGGGAGGCAGCAGUGGGGAAUUUUGGACAAUGGGCGCAAGCCUGAUCCAGCAAUGCCGCGUGCAGGAAGAAGGCCUUCGGGUUGUAAACUGCUUUUGUACGGAACGAAACGGCUCUCACUAAUACUGGGGGCUAAUGACGGUACCGUAAGAAUAAGCACCGGCUAACUACGUGCCAGCCGCCGCUGUAACAC
rnacentral:rRNA from 1 species